ACUAUUUCACGAAGGUAAAGGAUCCAGUCCCACCUGAGCAGCAAACAAACGUCAUCUAUGCCAUUCCUUGUUGCCACUGCGAAGCUAUGUACGUUGGGAUGACAACCAAUCGCCAAAAAACAAGAAUACAUGGUCAUCAAACACACUACAACACGAUGGACAAACUGCUGGAACGAGGAAUCGACGUAGAGGACCAAGAAAUGAUUGCUCUCGGGGAAAAAACGGCUCUGAUGCACCACAGCAUCACAAAACAACAUAGAUUCGAUCUAGACAGAACGAAAAUACUAGACAAGAAUGAAAACACAAACACACUCCAAUUUCUAGAGAUGUGUCAUAUUGUCAACAACACGAAUUGUAUAAAUAGAAGGACAGACACAGAAGGGCUACAUGCGAUUUACGCAGGGAUAUUACACGAAGUAAGGAAUGUCAACAAAACACGAAAACGAAAUGAUACACAAACACGAAUGAAUCAGAACACACUCACACCACAACAACAACAUUCUAGAUGAUGUACUACACACACUACAAGACACUAGUAGCAAGCACGGACAGCCAAGAAGCUGUCACGACUAAAAGCGUAGGCGAAAACUGUGCGAUUAUAACAAAUAGUUAAGCUCCAAACGACAGGCUUUUUAUAGCAAAAGCCACCCGCGAUACAGUGUCUUGCAAAAAUAUCGCCACACAUGCAGUGAGUAGACAAAUGUAACUAAAAAUGUAAGAUAGUAAUAUCACACUAUAUUCAUAGCCGAAGCGAGCGCCAUUUCAAAUUGAAUGGACAAUCAAAUGUAGAGCACUACCGUUCCGUACAAGAGAACAAAACUUCUGUAAGUAACAGGGUGGGCCAAAAAAGGUAAUGAGAAAUUAUUCGAUCAUUCUUAUAGAUUCCUUGAAAAUGGUAAAAUACAUUACCGAAACCGUCGGAAAUUGAAGCAAUAUUGUUCUUGCUGCUCUGAAAGACUGCCAAGGCCGGAAAACAUAACGUUUCUCUAGCUACAAUAUCCAGUCGUUAAGCAAUCCUUCCGUUGAAUACAAUGGCCACCGUCUCCGGCGCUUCCUUCUAUGACGAAAUUGGAAACAAUUACGGUGCAAAUGCUAAAAACAUGUUAAAAGACUACGCUAACAACACCCGAAAAAUCGGGAACAUGAUCAGUAGAAAAGCAUUCCUGAUCAGGUGUCGAAGAAGAGGAGUAUUCCCGGCACACUUUUCGAAUAAUUUCCGAUUUACGUACCCACUAUUGGAGGAAAAUGGCCCGUUCCCAAAUAUGGUACAGAAGUGCAUUAGGAAGUUCAUGAAGUCCAUACUAAACAUCGAGAUCAAACAUACGUUCUACAAAAUCCGAACCCUGCAAUCAAAACUGGCCUCACUAACAGCGAGCAUCCGGUCAUCGGACAUCCCGGGUCCGAUCAAGGCGAGCUUCUUCGAAAGCCAAGAGCGUUUCAACGAAAUGAAUGUCCAGGCGAGAACUAACAGAACCAAGCGUAAAUUUCGAAGCAUCAUAACCCGUAACCUGCAGCCAGCAGCGAACGAGGAGCUACCGACGAUCAACUCGAAGGCCAUCCACAACGGCACCCAGGUGGCAGUACCUCCCGAAACAGAAGUGUUACUCAGCCUAGGCCCAAAGUUUGCUUUGCCGAUCACCACGGCGGACAGUGUCCCGUUCUACCAUCUGUUGGCCGAUGUAGAACAGAUUAUCAAGACCAAUCCAGAUGUUGCAGUUCAAGAUCGUAACCGAUGUGCGAUAGCCAACGUGGUAACAAACUACAUCCACGGCAGUCGCAACCGUCCCGGUCCAGUCGAUCCCGUUUCGAAGUUCUGUGAAAACGCGCAGGCUAUAACUCGAAGGUUUUUGAAAGAAAACCCAAACGUCUUCGUCGUAAAGUCGGACAAAGGCAACAAGACAGUUCUUAUAGAAGCAGAAGACUACAAGAACAAGAUGAUGGAACUUCUUCAGGAUCAAACAACGUACGUGCCGAUACCACGUGACCCCACAUCGAGAUACGAGAGACAGAACAACAACCUGGUGCGACGGCUCAAAAACCUCAAGAUCAUCGACGAUAAAACAGCAAGGAUGCUCACCAAGUACAAUGCAGUGUGUCCAAGGAUCUACGGACAACCCAAGGCACACAAACCUGGAUUACCGCUGAGACCCGUUGUACCCAAUGUCACAGCUCCGUCAUACAACCUGUCAAAGUUCAUCGGACAAGUCAUGCAGCAAUCCCUGGUAAGCAAAUACAACAUCAAGGACUCCUUUUCAUUCUGCCAGUUCAUAAACAACAUAACUCUACCCGGGGAUCACGUACUUGUUUCGUUGGAUGUAAAAUCGCUAUUCACCUCGAUACCAAAAUCGCUGGCAAUCAACAGUAUCAUAAUGAGGUGGGACGAAAUUAGGCCAAACACAAACAUAUGUUUGGACCUAUUUCUAGAAAUAGUCGAGUUUUGUAUCGACGCGAGCUACUUCCGCUUCGAUGGUCAACAUUACCAACAAAUAUUCGGUACGGCUAUGGGCAAUCCCCUAUCUCCAGCAAUCGCGGAUUGGGUAAUGGAAACAUUGCUGGACACGGUUGUUCGAAUGCUCAAAAUCCCCCUACCAUUCCUACGAAAAUUCGUAGACGAUCUAGUAACGGCAAUCCCUCUCCACCAACUAGACCAUGUCAUGGAAACAUUCAACAGCUAUGACAUCCACAUCCAGUUCACGUACGAACUGGAGGUGGAUAACAAAUUGCCAUUCCUGGAUAUGCUCCUCAUCAGGCAGGACAACCAGAAGAUUGCCACCCAAUGGUACCAAAAACCCAUCGCUAGUGGACGUUUUCUUAACUUCCAUUCAUAUCACCCACUCGGUCAAAAGCUGAAUAUGGCAAUAAACUUCGCUAGACGGGUAAAUCAACUAACCACGAACCUGGAUCAACAAGCAAAAAUGCAGAUUGUUGAUGAACAACUCAAGCUAAACGAUUACCCGAAACCGCUAAGGCACCGAAUCGCCAACAGGAUGAAUGAGCGAUCCAACGACGAAAAUCAGCAAGAAAUCCUGGAAUAUACCUACCGUCGCAUUCCAUUCAUACCUCACUUGUCAAACAAGAUUGACAGGGUCUUGCAGCGAGAUUAUAAUAACAUACGACUCGCAAAGUACAACGUCCGAUCAGCAAGGGACUAUUUCACGAAGGUAAAGGAUCCAGUCCCACCUGAGCAGCAAACAAACGUCAUCUAUGCCAUUCCUUGUUGCCACUGCGAAGCUAUGUACGUUGGGAUGACAACCAAUCGCCUAAAAACAAGAAUACAUGGUCAUCAAACACACUACAACACGAUGGACAAACUGCUGGAACGAGGAAUCGACGUAGAGGACCAAGAAAUGAUUGCUCUCGGGGAAAAAACGGCUCUGAUGCACCACAGCAUCACAAAACAACAUAGAUUCGAUCUAGACAGAACGAAAAUACUAGACAAGAAUGAAAACACAAACACACUCCAAUUUCUAGAGAUGUGUCAUAUUGUCAACAACACGAAUUGUAUAAAUAGAAGGACAGACACAGAAGGGCUACAUGCGAUUUACGCAGGGAUAUUACACGAAGUAAGGAAUGUCAACAAAACACGAAAACGAAAUGAUACACAAACACGAAUGAAUCAGAACACACUCACACCACAACAACAACAUUCUAGAUGAUGUACUACACACACUACAAGACACUAGUAGCAAGCACGGACAGCCAAGAAGCUGUCACGACUAAAAGCGUAGGCGAAAACUGUGCGAUUAUAACAAAUAGUUAAGCUCCAAACGACAGGCUUUUUAUAGCAAAAGCCACCCGCGAUACAGUGUCUUGCAAAAAUAUCGCCACACAUGCACCGAAGCGAGCGCCAUUUCAAAUUGAAUGGACAAUCAAAUGUAGAGCACUACCGUUCCGUACAAGAGAACAAAACUUCUGUAAGUAACAGGGUGGGCCAAAAAAGGUAAUGAGAAAUUAUUCGAUCAUUCU